rnacentral:rRNA from 1 species
UACGUAGGGUGCAAGCGUUAAUCGGAAUUACUGGGCGUAAAGCGUGCGCAGGCGGUGAUGUAAGACAGGUGUGAAAUCCCCGGGCUUAACCUGGGAACUGCAUUUGUGACUGCAUCGCUGGAGUGCGGCAGAGGGGGAUGGAAUUCCGCGUGUAGCAGUGAAAUGCGUAGAGAUGUGGAGGAAUACCGAUGGCGAAGGCAGCCCCCUGGGCUAGUACUGACGCUCAUGCACAAAAGCGUGGGGAGCAAACAGG